ACCUGCAGGGAAAUGAGAGAACACACCUUGGGUGAGGUAAACCGCUAUGGAGUCCAAGAAAUGUCAUCAACCUCCCGGCUACGUCGCCCAUAAUGUUUAAUCCUCUGACAAAACUAGAUCACAUGGGGAGGUGUGCAGAGGUGUGUCGACAACUGCCCACAUGCUUCUAAAGAGUCAGAAUUUUUAACUAAUCAAGUCGCAAGAGUCACAAGGAAGUUGACUGAAUGUGUUGCAGAUAUCCGCUGGGGCUCGGUCCAAAAAGCACGGCAUCGAAUGGAUUUGGAAAUUAGUGCAACAGUUGAAAGGUUUAUGAAUAUUUAACAUGUUUUGUGUUCAAAUUGGCCACAGUUCGACACAGGACAUCAGAUGAGCAGUUCUCCAGAUAUGCGACAGAAGCUCUAUCAGCGUUUCCCCAGCAACAGCAGACAUCCACUGGAGUUUCCUCUAAAUACACUCUGCGGUAGUCCGCCGCCGUAAGCGGUAACUCGAGGCAGUAGAGGAGGCGCCCUGCUGCGUCAGUGACAUUGAUUACCUGGACUUCAUGCCCGGCUUGACCUCGACCACCUUGUCUGACACGUGGACCACACGGAUGGUGACGUCGCCAGAAUCCGGGAUGUUCUGCCGCUUGAUGUAAUCGUUGACUCGUGUCUCCAAAUAGCACCCCAACUUGGUAUGGGGAAGUCCUGCAAAGGACAGUAACGAGUAUGAGUAAGAGAGAAGACGGGAGACGUGGAGUCUUUGUGUUCAUGGUCACUAAACGUGGCCAUUUUAUAAACCUCACCAGCCUCUUCAAGAGCUUCUCAGAGCGCUACGGGUGGAGUACAUGUCGGACUGUAUGCAAUAUGGAUUUAAAAGGAAUCCAGCCCUGCUCUGUGCAAAAACCCACUACCAGCAUCUCUAUAGCUCACAAAUUAACACGUUGAUGUAAUCUUGUUGGUAUAAGCUGCACGAAAUCUGAAGCCUAAAACCAACAUGUUGUGGUGUUGGAGGACUUAUGGGCCAGAACAUUUCUGUGCCAGGCCUCUGGCCAUCUUAUCAUCAAAAAUGUUUUUUUGUCAAUAUGUUGAACGAUUCCAUUUUAUAUACUAUAAAUGGGCCUCAUUUAAAAGAACAAUAACAAAAUGCUUCAUCACCUUUGUAGUAAGGAGGGGAGCGACGAGCAACAAAGAUGUUUGAAAUGCCGUCAAUAAAGAAAAAAAAGGGAUGACAGCAAAAAAAGAAAGCGGGAAAUGAGCCGGCAGAUUAGCGACACUACACUUACUUUUGGAUGCGUAUUUGUUCUCUUUCCGCGUCUUGUUAGCCUUUUUGAGGCAGUUGUCACAUACAAAGCUGUGGUUAGUGAGAAAGCAGAGAGCAGAUGGUUAAACUAGCAGGUUACCAUCCGCACCAAUGACAGUUAUCGAGUGGCUUUAAUCAUGUCAGUCUUCCUUUCCUUAAACAGCGUUAAUGACCAAUAUUGCUUUUAAUAUCAUUCAGUAUGCACAUGAAGAGAUAUAAAACAUUUAGAAAUGAGAGCACUGUACAUUACAUUACUUUGUCUUUGUGUGUAUUUGUAGACAUUUUCCUUUUCAGUGCAGACGUAAUGAUCAGGACUCUCUCAGAUUCAACAUGUUGAACAGUUGGCGCUCUGUGCGAUCUUAAACUGGCAGCAUUUAUACAGCUGGAGGAGUUUACGGCUGUACUUUCCCAGCAUCAUUAUAUACGUUUUGGAUGAUUCUAAAGCUUUUUAAGGAAAACAAAAAGGCUUCAUUUAUUUUCAGGAGGCAACCGCGCCACAGAAUGUACAAGAGUGUGAAAACUGACUCACCCCAACGGCCAUAUGGUGUCAUGAUGCAAGACACAGAUCUGGUGCAUUUUGCGACCGCAGUCACCACAUUCCACAAGCCUGAGUAGAGGGAGGACGGGAGACAAAAGACGGACAACAUCUCGAGUUUAGUUUACAGAAAUGGUGCAAAUGAAGUCUGAAUGAGAAAGUAAAAGGGUGCACGUACAACUCAGGGUCGAGUGUGUCAUUCUUCUUUCUUUGAAACUGGUCUUUGUUGAUGGACCUUUGGGAAAUAUCAGAAAACAAACCGCUGUAAGAGUCACAACAAGGUAAUCACCUUUACACUGCAGGCUGUGUGCAGAAUACAAUAUCCUCAAUUCAGAAAAUGAAUGUAGGAAUUGAUAACAUCUCCACUGGCUAAAUAGUUCAUUGCUAAAUAUCGUUAUUCUGGUUGUUAAUUCCAACCGUUAAAUAAGGGAUACAAACUUGUCUUGUGUUUAAAUGACUUUAUGCACCAAACCAUUAGUAGUAUUCUAGAUUGCUGUUGUCGGAGCAGAAAGCAGCGUUUCCCCAACCUUUAUAUCAGGGGGGCACCAGUGGACAGGCUACUACUAAAAAGGUAUUUGAUUUUAAUAGAAAAGUAAGUCCACUACCACCUAUAGAAACAGAUUCCAAAUACAUGCGCCCCACACAAGAGGUGUGCUCUCAAGUUUGCUUUUUGAGGGAACAUAAAAAAGGGUCAAACCCAAUGUUAAAGGGUUUGUGCAAACUUUAAAUUGUCAUUUUUUGUUCCCAUGUGAGGUUAUAGAUAAAGAAGUCAAAUGAGAAUCAGACUUAAAACGUUAUACCUUCACUAGUUAUUUAUGCUUUUGUUGUCCUUAUACCUCUGGGAUAACAAAAGUUCCCCUCUGCGGAGGAAUAAAGCUGUGUUUUAUCUGAACUGUUAA